AUUGAACGCUGGCGGCAGGCCUAACACAUGCAAGUCGAACGAGUGGCGGACGGGUGAGUAAUGUCUGGGAAACUGCCUGAUGGAGGGGGAUAACUACUGGAAACGGUAGCUAAUACCGCAUACCAUCAGAUGUGCCCAGAUGGGAUUAGCUGGUUGGUGGGGAAACGGCUCACCAAGGUGACGAUCCCUAGCUGGUCGGAGAGGAGGACCAGCCGCACUGUGACUUAGCUACGGUCCAGACUCCUACGUGAGGCAGCAGUGGGGAAUCUUGCACUAUGGGCGCAAGCCUGAUACAGCCAUGCCGCGUGUCUGAAGGAGGCCUUCGGGUUGUAAAGUCCUUUCAGCGGGGCGGCGUUACCCGCAGAAGAAGCACCGGCUAACUCCGUGCCAGCAGCCGCGGUAAUUC
rnacentral:rRNA from 1 species